UGUGAAUGAUGACAUCAUUCUCCCUGACAUCACUGUGAGGGUAAAAACUGAUUUAAUGAGUCUGAUGC